UAAAGCUGAAAUAGUUUAUUACAAAUAUUGAUUUGUGGAAUCAAAGAUUUUUUUUAUUUUGGUUU
rnacentral:tRNA from 1 species